UACGUAGGGGGCAAGCGUUGUCCGGAAUCAUUGGGCGUAAAGAGCGUGUAGGCGGCCCGGUAAGUCCGCCGUGAAAGUCCAGGGCUCAACCCUGGAAUGCCGGUGGAAACUGCCGGGCUGGAGUCCGGAAGAGGCGAGUGGAAUUCCUGGUGUAGCGGUGAAAUGCGCAGAUAUCAGGAGGAACACCGGUGGCGAAGGCGGGUCUCUGGGCCGUAACUGACGCUGAGGAGCGAAAGCGUGGGGAGCAAACAGG
rnacentral:rRNA from 1 species